UAAGCUUUCUAAGUCUUUAUUCUCAUUCC
rnacentral:piRNA from 1 species